UCACUAAGCGGAGGAGAAGAAAACAACCGUGAUGCCCCUAGUAAUGGCGAAUGAAGAGGGCAGAGCUCACGCCGCCAAUCUGGAGGCCCUUGCGGCCCCCCGAAUUGUAGUCUAGAAAGGUGCCAUCGGCCGCGACCGUCGCUCAAAUCCCCUGGAACGGGGUAUCGGAGAAGGUGAGAAUCCUGUACCGUGGCGGCUCGCGGCCGCACGAUGCACUCUUGCAGAGUCGGGUUGCUUGGGAUUGCAGCUUGAAGUGGGUGGUAAAUUCCAUCUAAAGCUAAAUAUUGGCUCA
rnacentral:rRNA from 1 species